CAGUCGCCGCGGGAAUACAGAGGGUGCGAGCGUUAAUCGGAAUUACUGGGCGUAAAGCGUGCGCAGGCGGUUUGUUAAGACAGAUGUGAAAUCCCCGGGCUCAACCUGGGAACUGCAUUUGUGACUGGCAAGCUAGAGUGUGGCAGAGGGGGGUGGAAUUCCGCGUGUAGCAGUGAAAUGCGUAGAUAUGUGGGGGAAUACCGAUGGCGAAGGCAGCCCCCUGGGAUAACACUGACGCUCAUGCACGAAAGCGUGGGGAGCAAACAGGAUUAGAUACCCCCGUAGUCCCUGUCUCUUAUAC
rnacentral:rRNA from 1 species